rnacentral:piRNA from 1 species
UUUAACAGGUAGAUAUGGGAGUCUGU